UACAUGGGGUGCAAACGUUGCUCGGAAUUAUUGGGCGUAAAGCGCACGUAGGCGGUUCGUUAAGUCGGAUGUGAAAGCCCUCGGCUCAACUGAGGAAGUGCACCCGAAACUGGCGAGCUUGAGUACGAAAGAGGAUCGCGGAACUUCCCGGUGUAGAGGUGAAAUUCGUAGAUAUUGGGAAGAACACCGGUGGCGAAGGCGGCUCACUGGCUCAUUACUGACGCUCAGGCGCGAUAGCGUGGGGAUCAAACAGG
rnacentral:rRNA from 1 species